GAUGAACGCUGGCGGCGUGCCUAAUACAUGCAAGUCGAGCGAACAGACGAGGAGCUUGCUCCUCUGACGUUAGCGGCGGACGGGUGAGUAACACGUGGAUAACCUACCUAUAAGACUGGGAUAACUUCGGGAAACCGGAGCUAAUACCGGAUAAUAUAUUGAACCGCAUGGUUCAAUAGUGAAAGACGGUUUUGCUGUCACUUAUAGAUGGAUCCGCGCCGCAUUAGCUAGUUGGUAAGGUAACGGCUUACCAAGGCAACGAUGCGUAGCCGACCUGAAAGGGGGAUCGGGCACACUGGAACUGAGACACGGUCCAGACUCCUACGGGAGGCAGCAGUAGGGAAUCUUCCGCAAUGGGCGAAAGCCUGACGGAGCAACGCCGCGUGAGUGAUGAAGGUCUUCGGAUCGUAAAACUCUGUUAUUAGGGAAGAACAAAUGUGUAAGUAACUAUGCACGUCUUGACGGUACCUAAUCAGAAAGCCACGGCUAACUACGUG
rnacentral:rRNA from 1 species